rnacentral:tRNA from 1 species
GUGGUUGUAGCUCAGUGGUAGAGCGCUUGCCUCGUAUAUGUGAGUCACUGGGUUCGAGUCUCAGCACCACA